rnacentral:rRNA from 1 species
ACUCCUACGGGAGGCAGCAGUGGGGGAAUAUUGCACAAUGGGCGCAAGCCUGAUGCAGCAACGCCGUGUGAGUGAAGAAGGUUUUCGGAUCGUAAAACUCUGUCCUAAGGGAAGAAACAAAUGACGGUACCUUAGGAGGAAGCCCCGGCUAACUACGUGCCAGCAGCCGCGGUAAUACGUAGGGGGCAAGCGUUAUCCGGAAUCACUGGGGCGUAAAGGGUGCGUAGGCGGCUUAGCAAGCCAGGGGUGAAAGGCAUUGGCUCAACCAAUGUAAGCCUUUGGAACUGUUAAGCUUGAGUGCAGGAGAGGUAAGUGGAAUUCCUAGUGUAGAGGUGAAAUUCGUAGAUAUUAGGAGGAACACCAGUGGCGAAGGCGACUUACUGGACUGUAACUGACGCUGAUGCACGAAAGCGUGGGUAGCGAACAGGAUUAGAUACCCUGGUAGCACAGAG